GAUGAACGCUGGCGGCGUGCCUAAUACAUGCAAGUCGAGCGAACGGACGAGAAGCUUGCUUCUCUGAUGUUAGCGGCGGACGGGUGAGUAACACGUGGAUAACCUACCUAUAAGACUGGGAUAACUUCGGGAAACCGGAGCUAAUACCGGAUAAUAUUUUGAACCGCAUGGUUCAAAAGUGAAAGACGGUCUUGCUGUCACUUAUAGAUGGAUCCGCGCUGCAUUAGCUAGUUGGUAAGGUAACGGCUUACCAAGGCGACGAUGCAUAGCCGACCUGAGAGGGUGAUCGGCCACACUGGAACUGAGACACGGUCCAGACUCCUACGGGAGGCAGCAGUAGGGAAUCUUCCGCAAUGGGCGAAAGCCUGACGGAGCAACGCCGCGUGAGUGAUGAAGGUCUUCGGAUCGUAAAACUCUGUUAUUAGGGAAGAACAUAUGUGUAAGUAACUGUGCACAUCUUGACGGUACCUAAUCAGAAAGCCACGGCUAACUACGUGCCAGCAGCCGCGGUAAUACGUAGGUGGCAAGCGUUAUCCGGAAUUAUUGGGCGUAAAGCGCGCGUAGGCGGUUUUUUAAGUCUGAUGUGAAAGCCCACGGCUCAACCGUGGAGGGUCAUUGGAAACUGGAAAACUUGAGUGCAGAAGAGGAAAGUGGAAUUCCAUGUGUAGCGGUGAAAUGCGCAGAGAUAUGGAGGAACACCAGUGGCGAAGGCGACUUUCUGGUCUGUAACUGACGCUGAUGUGCGAAAGCGUGGGGAUCAAACAGGAUUAGAUACCCUGGUAGUCCACGCCGUAAACGAUGAGUGCUAAGUGUUAGGGGGUUUCCGCCCCUUAGUGCUGCAGCUAACGCAUUAAGCACUCCGCCUGGGGAGUACGACCGCAAGGUUGAAACUCAAAGGAAUUGACGGGGACCCGCACAAGCGGUGGAGCAUGUGGUUUAAUUCGAAGCAACGCGAAGAACCUUACCAAAUCUUGACAUCCUUUGACAACUCUAGAGAUAGAGCUUUCCCCUUCGGGGGACAAAGUGACAGGUGGUGCAUGGUUGUCGUCAGCUCGUGUCGUGAGAUGUUGGGUUAAGUCCCGCAACGAGCGCAACCCUUAAGCUUAGUUGCCAUCAUUAAGUUGGGCACUCUAAGUUGACUGCCGGUGACAAACCGGAGGAAGGUGGGGAUGACGUCAAAUCAUCAUGCCCCUUAUGAUUUGGGCUACACACGUGCUACAAUGGACAAUACAAAGGGCAGCGAAACCGCGAGGUCAAGCAAAUCCCAUAAAGUUGUUCUCAGUUCGGAUUGUAGUCUGCAACUCGACUACAUGAAGCUGGAAUCGCUAGUAAUCGUAGAUCAGCAUGCUACGGUGAAUACGUUCCCGGGUCU
rnacentral:rRNA from 1 species